CCUCCCCUCCUCCCUCCCUCCACCGCGCGCUGCGCACCAGCAGCAGCGCGCCCCAAACCCUAGCGAGCGAGAGACCCAGCCCCACCCAUGGAGAGAUCCGCCCACUCCCUGCUGCUCCUGCUGCUCGCCGCGGGGCUCGUCGUCGCUCUGCUCCCGGCGGCGGCCGCCACCUUCGGGCCGCAGCCGGGGGCGCCGUGCGAGGCCGCGCUACUCGCGACGCAGGUGCAGCUCUUCUGCACCCCCGACGCACCGACCACGCUGUGCUGCGACCCCGUCGUCGCCGCCUUCGACCUCGGGGGCGGCGUGCCCUGCCUGUGCCGCGUCGCCGCCGAGCCGCAGCUGGUCAUGGCGGGGCUCAACGCUACCCACCUCCUCGCGCUGUACACCUCCUGCGGCGGCAUCCGUCCCGGAGGCGCCCACCUCGCCGCCGCCUGCCAAGGUACGCGCACCCUCACCGCCUCCUCCCCUCCCUCCCGGCCUCUCCCUCUCUGGACCAACCGAUUCGGCGUUCUCUUUCGUGUUCGACGGUUUCUCGAGUCGCCAGUGCUCUGGUUUUGGGUCUUGUGUUGCGUUGUACCAGAUCUGCCCGCGAGGUCGAUCGGGUUGUCGUCGUUUCCAUGGCGAGCAACCCGGCGGCGGCGCGCGCGCGGCGUCGGGUUCCCGUCGUUCCUCGUGGCGAGGAACCUCCCCGUGGCAUAGCUUCUUUACGGCGUCAUGAUGUUCCUGUUUUUCGCUUAGGUUCUACGUAGAAGAAUGCAUGUCGCACGCGCAAGUGUUUGUUUGGUCGAUUUUAGAUCUGUGACUUGUUUCCGAGUUUUUGCACGUAGAAAAAUCGUGUGCAUAACCCAUGGUCCAUUUUGUGAUGUAUGUAUACGAUUACUUGUGCAGAUGCGGAGGCCUUCCAGAAUUAGUUAUCAUGUUUUUGUUCUCCAGUUAAACUUCCGUUCGAGUUUAUUUUCCUGCUUCUAACAUCGAUAUAUAUAUAUAUAUGUAUACCAUCCGCUUCUAACUGCUUCUAACUGCGUCUAACUCCAGUUAAAUUAGUUAUCAUUGUGAGAGAGUUGAUGCCGUUUAACUGAUAUAUAUAUAUUUGGAUGUUCAUUCUGCUAGACGCACUUUCUUUUGACACUAUCCGGUAGUAAUAGCGAUCAUCGUCAUGCCCGCGGGUUCUUUUUAGUUGGAGGCGAUCAUCUCUGUUUAAUCGCCUGCUCCACAUCUCGUUCGCGAUAGUACUUGUUUCAAACCGUCAAGGAUGCAGCUCUGCUUCCUGCGGUGUUUUUUUGUCUCCGUUUGGUCAAAAUUGAAAACGCCUGCUAUUUGAUCGAUCAAAAGCUUCCCGUGCUUUUCGCUUUGCAGUGGCUUCUCUUUAUUUCGACUUAAUUAUCUGCAUGCAGUUUUCGUAGCUUUACUCCGUCGUGAAAAAAAAGGUUGGGUCAAAUGAAUCAAUCGCCUACGUAUUGGCAUGGCAGGGCAGUAGCAACAGACACACAGUAGCAGCUUUAACCGGAUCAGUCUAAUCUGGCCUGCCACUGUGCUUCUUUUCUUGUUGCGCACGUCACCACCUCCUUUUUUUUUUCCAGUUUCGAUUUCUUUUGUAAUGCGGAUGAACGGGUGGUAAUUAACUGUUGGUGUUGUUUUUUACUGUGGGUUUUGGACGCAGGACCCGCUCCCCCGGCCGCCGUCGUCAGCAGCCCCCCGCCACCAUCGUCAGCACCAGCGCGUACGAACAUCGGCAAGGCCGUCGCCGCCCAUGCGGCCGCCACCUUCGGGCCGCAGCCGGGGGCGCCGUGCGACCCCGCGCUCCUGGCGACGCAGGCCGCGCUCUUCUGCGCCCCCGACAUGGCCACCGCCCAGUGCUGCGAGCCCGUCGUCGCCGCCGUCGACCUCGGGGGCGGCGUCCCCUGCCUCUGCCGCGUCGCCGCCGAGCCGCCGCUGGUCAUGGCCGGCCUCAACGCCAGC
rnacentral:lncRNA from 1 species